rnacentral:rRNA from 1 species
AUUGAACGCUGGCGGCAGGCCUAACACAUGCAAGUCGAGCGGCAGCGGGAAAGUAGCUUGCUACUUUUGCCGGCGAGCGGCGGACGGGUGAGUAAUGCCUGGGGAUCUGCCCAGUCGAGGGGGAUAACAGUUGGAAACGACUGCUAAUACCGCAUACGCCCUACGGGGGAAAGGAGGGGACCUUCGGGCCUUUCGCGAUUGGAUGAACCCAGGUGGGGUUAGCUAGUUGGUGGGGUAAUGGCUCACCAAGGCGGCGAUCCCUAGCUGGUCUGAGAGGAUGAUCAGCCACACUGGAACUGAGACACGGUCCAGACUCCUACGGGAGGUAGCAGUGGGGAAUAUUGCACAAUGGGGGAAACCCUGAUGCAGCCAUGCCGCGUGUGUGAAGAAGGCCUUCGGGUUGUAAAGCACUUUCAGCGAGGAGGAAAGGUUGUUGGCUAAUACCCAGCAACUGUGACGUUACUCGCAGAAGAAGCACCGGCUAACUCCGUGCCAGCCGCCGCAGUAA